UACAGAGGGUGCAAACGUUGUUCGGAAUUACUGGGCGUAAAGCGCGUGCAGGCGGCCUUGCAAGUCGGACGUGAAAUCCCACGGCUCAACCGUGGAAGUGCAUUCGAAACUGCGAGGCUGGAGUCCUGGAGAGGAAAGUGGAAUACUCGGUGUAGAGGUGAAAUUCGUAGAUAUCGGGAGGAACAUCAGUGGCGAAGGCGGCUACCUGGCCCAAUACUGACACUCAGGUGCGACAGCGUGGGGAGCAAACAGG
rnacentral:rRNA from 1 species